rnacentral:rRNA from 1 species
GACGAACGCUGGCGGCGUGCUUAACACAUGCAAGUCGAACGGUGAAGCGCCUUCCUUUUUGGUGGGUGUGGAUGAGUGGCGAACGGGUGAGUAACACGUGAGUAACCUGCCCCCUUCUUCUGGAUAACCGCAUGAAAGUGUGGCUAAUACGGGAUAUUCUGGGUCUGUCGCAUGAUGGGUCUGGGAAAGAUAUUGUUUCGGUGGGGGAUGGGCUCGCGGCCUAUCAGCUUGUUGGUGGGGUGAUGGCCUACCAAGGCGGUGACGGGUAGCCGGCCUGAGAGGGUGGACGAUCACACUGGGACUGAGACGCGGCCCAGACUCCUACGGGAGGCAGCAGUGGGGAAUAGUGCACGAUGGGCGCAAGCCUGAUGCAGCGACGCCGCGUGAGGGAUGGAGGCCUUCGGGUUGUGAACCUCUUUCGCCAGUGAAGCAGGCCUGCCUCGUUUGUGGGUGGGUUGACGGUAGCUGGAUAAGAAGCGCCGGCUAACUACGUG